rnacentral:rRNA from 1 species
CCUACGGGAGGCAGCAGUGAGGAAUAUUGGUCAAUGGACGCAAGUCUGAACCAGCCAUGCCGCGUGCAGGAAGACGGCUCUAUGAGUUGUAAACUGCUUUUGUACGAGGGUAAACGCAGAUACGCGUAUCUCUCUGCAAGUAUCGUACGAAUAAGGAUCGGCUAACUCCGUGCCAGCAGCCGCGGUAAUACGGAGGAUUCAAGCGUUAUCCGGAUUUAUUGGGUUUAAAGGGUGCGUAGGCGGUCGGAUAAGUUAGAGGUGAAAUCCCGAGGCUCAACUUCGGAAUUGCCUCUGAUACUGGUCGGCUAGAGAGUAGUUGCGGUAGGCGGAAUGUAUGGUGUAGCGGUGAAAUGCUUAGAGAUCAUGCAGAACACCGAUUGCGAAGGCAGCUU